UGAGGUGUGGCUUCCGGAGCUAACGCGUUAAGUCGACCGCCUGGGGAGUACGGCCGCAAGGUUAAAACUCAAAUGAAUUGACGGGGGCCCGCACAAGCGGUGGAGCAUGUGGUUUAAUUCGAUGCAACGCGAAGAACCUUACCUGGUCUUGACAUCCACGGAAGUUUUCAGAGAUGAGAAUGUGCCUUCGGGAACCGUGAGACAGGUGCUGCAUGGCUGUCGUCAGCUCGUGUUGUGAAAUGUUGGGUUAAGUCCCGCAACGAGCGCAACCCUUAUCCUUUGUUGCCAGCGGUCCGGCCGGGAACUCAAAGGAGACUGCCAGUGAUAAACUGGAGGAAGGUGGGGAUGACGUCAAGUCAUCAUGGCCCUUACGACCAGGGCUACACACGUGCUACAAUGGCGCAUACAAAGAGAAGCGACCUCGCGAGAGCAAGCGGACCUCAUAAAGUGCGUCGUAGUCCGGAUUGGAGUCUGCAACUCGACUCCAUGAAGUCGGAAUCGCUAGUAAUCGUGGAUCAGAAUGCCACGGUGAAUACGUUCCCGGGCCUUGUACACACCGCCCGUCACACCAUGGGAGUGGGUUGCAAAAGAAGUAGGUAGCUUAACCUUCGGGAGGGCGCUUACCACUUUGUGAUUCAUGACUGGGGUGAAGUCGUAACAAGGUAACCGUAGGGGAACCUGCGGUUGGAUCACCUCCUUACCUUAAAGAAGC
rnacentral:rRNA from 1 species